AUUGAACGCUGGCGGCAGGCCUAACACAUGCAAGUCGAACAGAGUGGCGGACGGGUGAGUAAUGCCUAGGAAUCUGCCUGGUAGUGGGGGAUAACGUCCGGAAACGGGCGCUAAUACCGCAUACUAUCAGAUGAGCCUAGGUCGGAUUAGCUAGUUGGUGGGGUAAAGGCCCACCAAGGCGACGAUCCGUCACUGGUCUGAGAGGAUGAUCAGUCAAAUGGGAACUGAGACACGGUCCAGACUCCUACGGGAGGCAGAAGUGGGGAAUAUUGGCCAAUGGGCGAAAGCCUGAUCCAGCCAUGCCGCGGGUGUGAAGAAGGUCUCCGGAUUUUAAAGCACUUUAAGCUGGGAGGCGUUACCAACAGAAUAAGCACCGGCUAACUUCGUGCCAACAGCCGCGGUAAUAC
rnacentral:rRNA from 1 species